rnacentral:rRNA from 1 species
UACUCGAGUGGCGAACGGGUGAGUAACACGUGGGUGAUCUGCCCUGUACUUUGGGAUAAGCCUGGGAAACUGGGUCUAAUACCGAAUAUGACCACUUCUUGGAUGGGGUGGUGGAAAGCUUUUGCGGUAUGGGUUGAGCUCGCGGCCUAUCAGCUUGUUGGUGGGGUAAUGGCCUACCAAGGCGUCGACGGGUAGCCGGCCUGAGAGGGUGUACGGCCACAUUGGGACUGAGAUACGGCCCAG